rnacentral:rRNA from 1 species
GAUGAACGCUGACAGAAUGCUUAACACAUGCAAGUCGAUGGGGAAGUGGUGCUUGCACCAUGGUAACCAUGGCGGACGGGUGAGUAACGCGUAAGGAACUUGCCUGCGGGACCGGGAUAACAGCAGGAAACUGCUGACAAGACCGGAUAAGGUCAUUAAGCCGCAUAGCUUGGUGAUGAAAGGAGACGCCUGCGGAGAGCCUUGCGUCCUAUUAGCUAGUUGGAGGGGUAACGGCCCACCAAGGCGAAGAUAGGUAGCCGGCCUGAGAGGGUGGACGGCCACAAGGGGACUGAGAUACGGCCCUUACUCCUACGGGAGGCAGCAGUGGGAAUAUUGGACAAUGGGGGCAACCCUGAUCCAGCAAUUCUGUGUGCACGAAGACGGUUUUCGGAUUGUAAAGUGCUUUCAGCAGGGAAGAAGGAAGUGACGGUACCUGCAGAAGAAGCGACGGCUAAAUACGUGCCAGCAGCCGCGGUAAUACGUAUGUCGCGAGCGUUAUCCGGAAUUAUUGGGCAUAAAGGGCAUCUGGGCGGCCUUUCAAGUCAGGGGUGAAAACCUGCGGCUCAACCGCAGGCCUGCCUUUGAAACUGAUAGGCUGGAGUACCGGAGAGGUGGACGGAACUGCACGAGUAGAGGUGAAAAUUCGUAGAUAUGUGCAGGAA